GACGAACGCUGGCGGCGUGCUUAACACAUGCAAGUCGAACGCUGAAGCUUGGUGCUUGCACUGGGUGGAUGAGUGGCGAACGGGUGAGUGAUACGUGAGUAACCUGCCCUUGACUCUGGGAUAAGCCUGGGAAACUGGGUCUAAUACUGGAUACGACAUGUCACCGCAUGGUGGUGUGUGGAAAGGGUUUUACUGGUUUUGGAUGGGCUCACGGCCUAUCAGCUUGUUGGUGGGGUAAUGGCUCACCAAGGCGACGACGGGUAGCCGGCCUGAGAGGGUGACCGGCCACACUGGGACUGAGACACGGCCCAGACUCCUACGGGAGGCAGCAGUGGGGAAUAUUGCACAAUGGGCGGAAGCCUGAUGCAGCGACGCCGCGUGAGGGAUGACGGCCUUCGGGUUGUAAACCUCUUUCAGCACGGAAGAAGCGAAAGUGACGGUACGUGCAGAAGAAGCGCCGGCUAACUACGUG
rnacentral:rRNA from 1 species